CAUUCAAGUGACCCCCCCCAACCAAUAUCCCCUCCACCUCCCCUUGACCCACUUAAUUCAACCAAUGAAAUUUUGAUAAACAAUCCUACUCAACCUAAUCCCACCGCCCAAACAUCUAAGAUCACCUCAACAACGGCUACUUCCAAACCAAAAAACUAUAAGAAAGCAUCUGAUUCCACCGUCAAACCACCCUUGCCGAUACACCCAAAGAUAAUACUAGCAAUAUUAAUCCAAACACUAACUCUACCAAGAACACCAUCCCCACACAACCCAGAAUAUCUUCGAAUUUUGAUCGACCACCUAGAAACAAUGAACCUACAACUGGCUUUUCUGGUGCUCAACAACAUGAUCUUACCCAAGCUACAAUCACCCACCCAAUAUCUAACCCGCUAGAUCAGAACCCAGGUUCAACCAACAUGCAACAGGUGAAGGCCCCGAUUGGUAACAACAGAGCUAAUGCUCUGUUUGGUAAUAGAGGUAGUGAUUAAAAUGUGUCAAAGCCAUCAUUUGCUGCAGCAGUCCAAGCAAAACUUCCAUCCCUUGAUGAAGGAACUGCACAAAUCAAGAUCAGAUACGACACUCAUCUAGGUAAAUCGACAGUCUUAUUUUCAGCAGAAGAUUACUUUAUUACUUUGGCUCAAGAUUGUAAACUUACGUUAAUAGGUAAGUUCUACAGAGGAAAACCCACAAUGGAGGAGAUUAGAGAAGUUUUUAUAAGCCAAUUUCAUCUAAUAGGUUCAGUUAAAAUAGCUUAUUUUGAUUUUAUAGAUAUAUACAUUGAUUUCACAAAUGAGGUGGAUCACAAUCAUAUCCUAUUCAAUGAGUAUGUUGAUAUUGGAGAAUCACCUAUGAAGAUCCUAAAAUGGACAACUGAUUUCAAACCUGAAGAAGAGACAUCUAUUGUCCCGGUGUGGAUUUUAAUUCAUCAACUACAAUGUCACCUUUUCAGAUGGAAAGUUAUCUCUAAGUUGGUUAGUGAUGUAGGAGUAGUUGUAGCACCAAAUCAAGCCACUUACUCUAAAUCAAGAAGGCUGAAAUUGAUCUUUUGAAUCCAAGACUAGAUCAAAUAUGGUUGGGCUAUUAAAGAUUGGAUGGAACUGAUGAUGGUAAAUGGCUUGACAUUGAGUAUGAAAAGGUCCCAAGCUAUUUUCUAUACUGCAAACUUCAGGGAAAUCUUGAGAUCCAGUGUAGAAAUAAGGCCAGGGAUGAUAAAGUUAAAGCUCAAAGAGAAGAACAAAACAGAAAAGAGAAGGAGGACAAACAAGAACAGGAAAAUAAUGGUGAAGAUGGCUUUCAAACUGUAACAAGGAGGAGAAGCACAAAAGACAAGAAAAUUUCAGUAAACCACCAGCAAAGUAGGGAAACUGAUCAGAACAAACAACUUGAAAAAAUCAAACAGAUUCCUAGAGAAAAUAGGGGCAUCUCUAUUAGAGAACCUUCAGAGAUUAACCAACUCCCUAUAGUUAAGGAAGUACUUGGAAAAGGGAAAGGCACUGAAACUGAAGAAAAUAUGGUACCUAAUAACAAAAAUCAAGUUGCUCAGAGUGUAUCCACGAAUGCUAUUGUUACUGACAUACCAGAAUCAAGUAACAAAAGGAGAAAAAGAGGCAGAAAGAAAAACUAGAAUGCGGCAAAUGUGAAGAUGGAGGCAAGAUCCAGACAUGGAUAAAACAUGUCCCAACAAAUAUAUGUCAAACUGAUAUGGAGAACCAAGGUAACUCAGAAGCCUUGGUCCAAAAGUAGCAGGACCAAAUUGCUCCAUAGGCUCAAACUUUCUUAUUGACCACUCCAGUGGAGGUGAACAAUCAAAUAGAACCGCAGGCACAGGAAAAGGCAAUAAACCAUAAUGUCAAUCCUGAAGAAGUCCAACACAAUUACUUGAAAAUUAUUAGUGAUACAACUCUUGAUGAAGAAAAAUAGAAUGAAACAGGAUACCAUUUAAAACCUGGAGAAAAAUCAGACUCGGUGUAUGGAGAGGAUAAUAACUCAGAUGUUAUGGAUUAAAAUGGAGAUGAAGAAAGUUCAGAAGCAAGUGGAGAAUAUGCAAGUGUUGAUAGUGAAGAGGCAGACAACGAUAAUCAUGCAGAUACUCUGGUUGAGAACUUUUGUCCCCAGUCAUUGGUAGAUGUUAGUGUGACUUCAACCUUUUACAAUCUUAUCAACUCCGGACACCUAUCCCCUAGGGGCAGAGGAAGGGGAAGAGGCAACAACAGAGGUGGUAGAACUUCAACAAGAGGAAGGAGUGGCAAUCAACAAAACCAAAAACCUAGAAGGGUCUCAAAGAACAAAAACUCUUAUAUUAGUGAUUGUGUUUAAGUCCCUUUAUUGGAAUAUCAGGAGCAUUAAGUCUAAUGAUUAUCUUGAAAGACUUAAACAACUAAUCAUUGCUGAGAAACUUUUAAUUAUCGACUUUUGUGAACAUUUUCAUAAGGCAAACAAACUAGACAAGUUCAAAAGAAUUUUGGGCUACCAAUAUGCUUAAUCAAAUUGCAACAGUCAGAUUUGGAUCUUUUGGGAAGUUAAUAUUGGUUGUGCUACCAUUGAGGAGGAUGAUCAACAAGUUACUUGUAGAAUUAAGAUAAAUGGAAUCUCUGUACUGAUAUGCUAUGUCUAUGCAAAGUGUGAGGAACUUCUGAGAGAGGACCUAUGGGACAAACUCAGAAACAUCAGUGAUAACUAUAAUAUGCCAUGGCUAGUUGCCGGGGAUUUUAAUUGCAUUGUUGAUCCUGCUGAGAAACAGGGGGGCUCCCCUCAUAGAAUGUCAAAAAGUCUUGCAUUUAUAUAGUGUAUCAUGGACUGUGAAUUAUUGGAUGCUGGAUACAUUGGCUCAAGCAUUACUUGGUGCAAAGACUAGACAGGGUUCUAAUUAUCAUGAUUGGUUGAAUAUUUUUGACUCUACCAAUAUUAAUCACUUGAUUAAGACUGGCUCUGAUCACUUUCCAUUGUUGAUCUCAGCUAAGUCCAACAAUAGAUACCAUGUUAAAUACUUUAGGUUUCUUGAUUUCUGGACUGAGGAACCUGGCUUCAUGAGUGUUGUGGAACAAGGUUGGAAUGUUGAAACUAGUGGCUCUCCACUUUGAAAGUUUCACCUGAAGUUAAAAAAUACUUGCAAAAAGCUUUCAGAAUGGUCUAGAAAUACAGUUGGUAACAUAUUUACUAUUGUGAAGGUUUUGGAAGAAAAAGUUUUUGAUCUAGAAGAGAAGUCCAUUAAUGACAAUUCAGUGGCUAAUAGAGUUUUUCUUAAUCAGGCUAAUGCAGAAUUGGUUAUGGCUCAUAAAAAGGAGGAAGCUUUUUGGGGCGGAAAUCAGGAAUAAAAUGAUUUGUAGAAGGAGAAGUGAACUCCAAGUUCUUUCACUCUAUAGUCAAAGGAAAAAGAGAAGAUUAACUCUGGCCAAGAUGAUUAGUGAGAUUGGAGGCUAGAUUGAAGGAGAGGAUAAUAUUGCUCAAGAAGCUGUCAAAUUUUUGAAAAAUAAUUCACUAAGGAUGAUGCACGGAAGGAUCUUUCUAUUCUGAAUUGUAUUCCAAUGAUUGUAAAUGAAGAAGAUAACAACAAACUAUUAGACCCACCAUCCAUGGAAGAACUCCAUGAGCACUCACAGUGCUCCUGGACCAGAUGAGGUACCCCAUUACCAAGAUCUCUCACUCACACAUGUCUUAUCCUGAUUUCUGAAGUGGAAUCUCCUCAACAUUUCACGGAGUUAAGGCCGAUCAACCUUAGCAAUUUCUCACGCAUGAUUAUUUCAGAAUUGAUGAACCAGAGGCUUGCUCCUCUAAUCCAGAAUCUUAUAUCUCCAUACCAUACUGGCUUUAUCAAGGAAGAUCCAUAACUGAGAAUAUCAUGUUGACUCAAGAGAUGGUGCACAACAUUAAUCAAUAUCCACGAAUUGGUAUUGUCGUCAUGAAACUUGACAUGACCAAGGCUUAUGACAGGGUGGAUUGGAACUAUUUAUGCCUAGUGCUGAAACAUAUGGGGUUUUCUGAGAUUUGGAUUGAUAGAGUCUGGAGGCUUAUAUCUAGUAAUUGGUACUCAAUCAAUCUGAAUGGAACAAGACAUAGGUUCUUUAAAUCCACUAGGGGGUAUCAAGCAGGGUGAUUCUUUGUACCCUUCUUUAUUUGUUCUUGGAGCUGAGCUACUAUCUAGAUUGAUGAACCAGUUACCUGCAAAGGGAUUUAUCCCAUAUUCAUCCGA